GAUGAACGCUGGCGGCGUGCCUAAUACAUGCAAGUCGAGCGAAUGGAUUAAGAGCUUGCUCUUAUGAAGUUAGCGGCAGACGGGUGAGUAACACGUGGGUAACCUGCCCAUAAGACUGGGAUAACUCCGGGAAACCGGGGCUAAUACCGGAUAACAUUUUGAACCGCAUGGUUCGAAAUGGAAAGGCGGCUUCGGCUGUCACUUAUGGAUGGACGCGCGGCGCAUUAGCUAGUUGGUGAGGUAACGGCUCACCAAGGCAACGAUGCGUAGCCGACCUAGGAGGGUGAUCGGCCACACUGGGACUGAGACACGGCCCAGACUCCUACGGGAGGCAGCAGUAGGGAAUCUUCCGCAAUGGACGAAAGUCUGACGGAGCAACGCCGCGUGAGUGAUGAAGGCUUUCGGGUCGUAGAACUCUGUUGUUAGGGAAGAACAAGUGCUAGUUGAAUAAGCUGGCACCUUGACGGUACCUAACCAGAAAGCCACGGCUAACUACGUGCCAGCAGCCGCCGUAA
rnacentral:rRNA from 1 species